GGGAUGUACGGGUGACGGUCUCGACCCUUCAAGACCGUCUCGCGGAGACCAAGUUGUGUUGUUCAACAUGUAGUAGACUCCUCCUUCCUUGAAGGCGUGGUCUAUUCAAAUCCCUUCUUCGAGCGUCAUUUUCGACCGAUUGCAAUGCAAGUUAUCUAUUUAUUUGCGAAAAAAACGGCCAAUUACGGAACAAAAGUUGCCUAUAAAAAAGUAGGUCAAGUGUCGUUUAGGCCCAUGGGUUUGUUUCUGUGAUGGCGCUACUGUAGAGGACAACAGUGGGGGGAAAAUAAGAAAAUCUCUUAGGGAAUUGAUGGGCAAUCAUCAAAGGAACCUCUUCAGUUCGUGUUUCACCUCGACUAGGAAAAGAACAUUAAGAGUUAGUGCAAUGUAUUACGAAGUAGAAAAAAUCAUUGACAAAAAAUUAGUUGCUGAGAAAAAGGGACAAAAACGCGUCUGGUAUUUUGUUAAAUUUAAAGGUUACCCCCCCGAAGCCAACGAAUGGGUUUCGGCAAAACAUUCCAGAAUGGAAAGAUUAGUCCGGGAGUUUCAUGCAGCGCAAAAAGCUGCUACAGUGCUACAGAAUUCUCCACCCCCUUCUUCCUCACCCUUGCCUGACCCCAACCUUCCAGCGAAGAAAAACAAGAAAAAAGGAAGAAGCCUGAAAAAAAUGUGCUUAGGCGUAGCAAAUGCUAUGUGGUAAGUCUUAUUUCAGAAAAUAUUACAUCUUUUUAUAAUUUAAAAUUUAGAUUUUUUUUACAGUGCAAACAGAAAGGACAUCGGUCCUCCAAAUUUUGUAGACAAAUUGUUUAAUUUUAUUACUUUUUAUGAUAUUUUACUUUUUUUGUUCAACCAAGAUUUUUAAAAACAGUUUCACGAUAGGUAUUCUGUCUAGAUUGAGAUGAUAUUAGUUUCCCUAUAAGUAUUCUGUCUAGAUUGAGAGGAUAUUAGUUUCCCAGAGGAAUCUAGGGUGAGGCAAGUAAUAUUUUCAUAAUCACAUUUCACUAACUAAUUAAUUAUUAAUUAAAUUAUUAUUAAGCAGGAUUAUGUUAUAAAUUAUUAUGUUUUCUUAAACACCAGACAGAAUUCUCCACCCCCUUCUUCCUCACCCUUGCCUAACCCCAUCCUUCCAGCGAAGAAAAACAAGAAAAAAAGGAAGAAGCCUGAAAAAAAUGUGCUUAGGCGUAGCAAAUGCUAUGUGUGCAAACAGAAAGGACAUCGGUCCUCCAAAUUUUGUAGACAAAUUGUUUAAUUUUAUUACUUUUUAUGAUAUUUUACUUUUUUUGUUCAACCAAGAUUUUCAAAAACAGUUUCCCGAUAGGUAUUCUGUCUAGAUUGAGAUGAUAUUAGUUUCCCUAUAAGUAUUCUGUCUAGAUUGAGAGGAUAUUAGUUUCCCGGAGGAAUCUAGGGUGAGGCAAGUAAUAUUUUCAUAAUCACAUUUCACUAACUAAUUAAUUAUUAAUUAAAUUAUUAUUUAGCAGGAUUAUGUUAUAAAUUAUUAUGUUUUCUUAAACACCAGACAGAAUUCUCCACCCCCUUCUUCCUCACCCUUGCCUAAUUCCAUCCUUCCAGCGAAGAAAAACAAGAAAAAAAGGAAGAAGCCUGAAAAAAAUGUGCUUAGGCGUAGCAAAUGCUAUGUGUGCAAACAGAAAGGACAUCGGUCCUCCAAAUUUUGUAGACAAAUUGUUUAAUUUUAUUACUUUUUAUGAUAUUUUACUUUUUUUGUUCAACCAACAUUUUCAAAUAC
rnacentral:misc_RNA from 1 species